GUCUGUGGCCAUACCACCCUGAAUGCAUGCAAUCUUGUCUGAUCUCAGAAGCUAGGCCAGGGUUGGGCCUGGUUAAUACUUGGAUAGGGAGGAGGAGAGAGUUGCCGUAUACU
rnacentral:rRNA from 1 species